AGUGAACGCUGGCGGUAGGCCUAACACAUGCAAGUCGAACGGCAGCACAGUAAGAGCUUGCUCUUACGGGUGGCGAGUGGCGGACGGGUGAGGAAUACAUCGGAAUCUACUUUUUCGUGGGGGAUAACGUAGGGAAACUCACGCUAAUACCGCAUACGACCUACGGGUGAAAGCAGGGGAUCUUCGGACCUUGCGCGAUUGAAUGAGCCGAUGUCGGAUUAGCUAGUUGGCGGGGUAAAGGCCCACCAAGGCGACGAUCCGUAGCUGGUCUGAGAGGAUGAUCAGCCACACUGGAACUGAGACACGGUCCAGACUCCUACGGGAGGCAGCAGUGGGGAAUAUUGGACAAUGGGCGAAAGCCUGAUCCAGCCAUACCGCGUGGGUGAAGAAGGCCUUCGGGUUGUAAAGCCCUUUUGUUGGGAAAGAAAAGCAGCAGGUUAAUACCCCGCUGUUCUGACGGUACCCAAAGAAUAAGCACCGGCUAACUUCGUG
rnacentral:rRNA from 1 species